rnacentral:rRNA from 1 species
UACAGGGGGGGCAAGCGUUGUUCGGAAUUACUGGGCGUAAAGGGCCAGUAGGCGGCCAACUAAGUCACACGUGAAAUCCCCGGGCUUAACCCGGGAACUGCGUGUGAUACUGGAUGGCUUGAAUUCGGGAGAGGGAUGCAGAAUUCCAGGUGUAGCGGUGAAAUGCGUAGAUAUCUGGAGGAAUACCGGUGGCGAAGGCGGCAUCCUGGACCGACAUUGACGCGUGA